rnacentral:lncRNA from 1 species
CAAAAACUAGAAAAAAUAAAAUAAAAUAACAAAUAACACAAAAAAAUUCGCACCAGAAAGUUUUUUCCCCUCCUUUGUAUUUUCUCCCUUUUAUGGUGGCAUCUAGAAGUCACACAGCAAUAUACCAAAAAAAAUACACAGUAACAUUUUUUAUAGACUCUUUCACUGACAAAUUGUAGUGUCAGGUAUUGGUCACAGUGAAAAAGUUUUUGAUACAUAACGCA